rnacentral:rRNA from 1 species
AUGUCGUGCUCCUCCUUGGAGGUGCCGCCUGGGGAGGGAUCGUGUUCGGGUGAGGUGUGUCAAAGGUCCGAGCUUUGGGCGGCUCUGGUUGUCCGACGGCGGCGAUUUCGUCGGGAUUUGCAUGGCCGGCAUUGUCCCCAUUCCCUCACGGGUGGUGCCCACUGGUUGUGGCGUGUUUGGCUCAAGGCUGGCGGUACAACGCCUUUGAUCCGGCGGUAG